CGCUGUGUGGUAGAGCGGGAAUACGCCGGGAACCAGGGCGAUCUGGUCCCAGAGGUCGCUGGUUCGAUCCCGGCUGCAGCAA